rnacentral:tmRNA from 1 species
GGGGGUGUAUAGGAUUUCGACGAAAUUGUUUAACAAUGAAAUUGCAGGUCAGAGUUGGUCGAUGGCUCUGUAAAAAUCGACUAAAUAAUAAACAACAACAAAAACAUUAAUAACAAUAGUUACGCCGUAAAUAGUCAGUCUUUAGCAUUAGCUGCUUAAGAAGUUGUGUUUUUAUAUUUAUAUUUUUCAUAUGUAAGAUAGAAACCUGUAUAUUAUAGUUUCAUUGAAAUAAGUUUUCGGACGCGGGUUCGAUUCCCGCCACCUCCACAA